GUUUUAGGAAAGUCACCUAUCCGUGACUCGAACAAUAGGGAAACUGCAAAUUGCUAUUGGUAGAUUUGGCAAAAAUAUAAUACACACGUGACGGUGAAAGGACCAGAUUUUUGAAUAAACGUUGACUAACAUAGAUGAGUUGUAUUGUUAUUCUAAUGAGUUUCACAGCCAUCUUCCCUUCGAUAGGCUAUGAAUGUACAAA